rnacentral:rRNA from 1 species
CUACGGGUGGCUGCAGUGGGGAAUAUUGCACAAUGGGGGGAACCCUGAUGCAGCAACGCCGCGUGGAGGAUGACGCAUUUCGGUGUGUAAACUCCUUUUAUAUGUCAAGAAAAUGACGGUAGCAUAUGAAUAAGCACCGGCUAACUCCGUGCCAGCAGCCGCGGUAAUACGGAGGGUGCAAGCGUUACUCGGAAUCACUGGGCGUAAAGGACGCGUAGGCGGGUUGGAAAGUCAGGUGUGAAAUCCUACAGCUUAACUGUAGAACUGCACUUGAAACUUCUAAUCUAGAGUAUGGGAGGGGGAGAUGGAAUUAGUGGUGUAGGGGUAAAAUCCGUAGAUAUCACUAGGAAUACCUAAAGCGAAGGCGAUCUCCUGGGACAUUACUGACGCUAAGGCGUGAAAGCGUGGGGAGCAAACAGGAUUAGAUACCCCGGUAGUC